UCCUCCCCUCCCCCCUCCUCCCCCUCCCCCUCCUUCCUCCUCUUCUUCCUCCUCCUCCUCCUUCUAACUUCCUCCUUUACCUUUAUUCUCGGUAGUUUUUCUUGGUUGCUAGGUCCUCACUUCUUCCAGAUUCAUUUCACUUUCAUGAUUUCGUCAACUAAAAUGAUUACAUUAAUCAGAGGGGUUUAUAAUACAACUACCAUUUCCAAGGCACUCCUCUAAGAAACUUCCAUUUCUAUAAUGAUGCUUUCUGAUUAGUUUCCAAUCCUGUAUGAUAAAUGCUGAGAGGGGUGAGUGGGCACUGGACAGGGGAAACUGCUUAAUAAGGCUCUUCUUUGCACACUGGUUUUCAUUCUCAGCAAGCUGUGCCCCCCACGCCCUCUGACAGAAGACCACAGCUUUUCCCCUGUGGGACAAAGCAAAGCUUUCAGAACACUCCUAAAGCCAAAUUUUCUUCAUUUGUGUCCAUUUGUCAAUCCCACCUGGGAUGACUGAGAAAUAAGAUGGUUGUGGACACAAAAGUGGAAAAGACAAUUCCAGUUAGUUGAGGAUAGAAAUAUUUCAAGAUGAAAAGGGGAUUUUGACUUUGUUUCUAAGUUUUACAGCAUUUGAACUAUCAAUUUCUUUUAAUAAUUCCAAUAAUGUAAUCCACAUAAAAUUAUACUAAAGGCAAAUUUGUCUUUUAUUUGUCUUUGAUAAUUGGAAACGCUGUUUAUAAUGUAAGAAAUUAAGCUCUGUGAAAAUGUAUUCUUACUGUUGGGUUAUGGGAAUUCAGGAAAAUACGAAUGAUCUAAGUUCCUAGGAAUUUUUCUAGGUUGCAUUUUGUAGCUCCUCACUCAUUUCAAACAUAUGUUAGAGAGACUAUUUGUACUGUCAUUUAUCUUUCCCUACUACAGAGAAACUGUACAUGCAUACAUCUAUCUAUAUACACAUUAUUAUCUGUGUUUAUAUAUCAUAUAUGUGUCAUAUAUGAUAUAUAUUUCUGUCAAAACAAAGGCUGCUUGAUAACCAGAUCAUAAACAGUAUUAGAGAUAUUUAUUUCAAUGAUACUAUGCCUGUCACACAAUUCACAAAGAUGCGUCCAAACAGAACACUAAAGCCAUUUAGUCAGCAAAACUACCAAAUAAAAUACUGGGUUGUAAAAGGCUAAUUGUUUCUCAUUCUAAGUGCCUGGUGGCUAUUUUCCUCUUUGGAAUGUUGUCUUUUACAGUUAUACCAUGUACAUACACAGGAUAGCAGACAGCUGAGUUUGUUUGUCCACCCAUCCAGCCUCCUACUUUACCUCUAAUUUUAGGAAUACAGUAGAGCCCCUCAAUCAGGAAGUAUAAGCUGCAUUAUAUCUACAAAAGGAAAGCUGUGUUAUAAGUGUCUCCCAAAUGAAAAAGAUACAGAGUGUAGAUAAAGGAAGAAGGAAAUUCUCCAGCAAAGUGAUGCUAACAGGCUAAGUGCCUCUUGCAUAAACACCAAAGGUUUGUUGAAACUUAGUUAAGAAAUCCCCAAGAAUUUUUUAAAAGAACAGAUUGCUGUCUCCUGCUAGGGUCUGGAAUGAAAGCAUCACCUCUCCUGAAAUCAGAGAAAAUUACGUUUUCCCUAAGAUUUUCAAAUAACGUUCCACAAAGUGAAUUGGGAAGCUACAUCAUAAUGAGUCUCUGUAGUAAGAGUGUUAAACAAGGGGUAUUCCCUACUUACUGAGUAAGUCAGUAACACAGACCUCUGUAGGUCACUUGGCAGCGGUCACCGACUUGUCCUGGAGUGUAGUCCCUCCAUCUCUCCGCCAGCCCAGCCAGACACUACCCCCACCAGGCUUCCAACCUCUGAAGUUUCUCUGCUUUGGGUUUAGUGACCAGGCUCUUCUUGGAGCUUGUUCUAGCUUUCUGAUAAAUUUAUAUCUUAUAAUUGUUUGCGAUUUAUAAUCACUUAUUUGCAGGUCAAAUAGAAACACCAGAGUUGGAUUCUGGUGGGGGCAGCACAGAUCGUACAGUCUUUUCUGCUUUACUCUUAACAGAGGCAAGCGCUGGAAAAUAGAGAGAAAGAAAAAUGAAGUAGGGAGACGAGAUGACUUCCUCAAGGUGCAGGGAUUGGCAGAUACACCUGAGUUGUUUCUAGAUUCCAUGUUAAUAUUCGUGCUGGGAAUGAUUGUAAAUCCCGCAUGCCUGCGCAUAAGCAAAAGUUAUACAUACACAAUGAGGCUUACCUUGAAGGGUGACUAGCAUUUCUAAAUGCCUGUGAGACAGGCUGUAUAUUACCAAAAUUACCCUUGGAACUUUCUGGUAACUAUCUGUCAGUGUAACUCCACAACCCUUAUUCAGCUCCUCCAGGUAAAAUGACAAAACCAUCUUCAAGUAUUCAUCCAGCCAAUAUCUUUAAAUAAUGGUAGAAAAAAUCUUUAAUAUCAUUCGCCUGCCUUUAUUAUCUCAGUACAUCACGACGUAGUUUGACCCAUUUGUAUUUGCUGUUAGUUACCCAGAAGUAAGGACCAAAGAAGAUGUUAAUUGCACGUGGAUCAAAACCCCAGAGCCUCAGCAUUCGUAGAUCUUCAUUCACAUCAAACAUUCCUUUCCAAACCAAGGAAGAGGCCAAUUCUUUUAGAGAGGCUGAAGCAGCUCUCUGAUGAGACAGCCCAGCCAUGGCAUCAAUAGCCCCUCACUGUUACUGAUUGUCCAAGGGAGUAGACUAAAGCAACCAGCGUGAAACACUGGAUGGCUUCUAGCCACCAACUCUGUGAGCGUCGAGAUCUGUGUGAGCACUUGGGUACUUCAAAGCCACAUUUCCGUUUCAAGCUGUUUAAAAUGCCAGGAAUCGGUGUUAAUUGAGGGUGUAUCUAAAAUAAACCAGGAUGAGUUUCGGCCAAUUUCUGCGUAUCAAAUUUCAACCAAUUGAGCCAGGAAAAGAUCAGCCGUUGCACCUUCUUCACCAUAUAUGGGCAUCGUGUGUUCUAUAGCCAUUGCUACCCAUUCCUGCCAUUCUUGCCAAAAAUCAAAAGACAAAAAGCAAGUUCUAAAAAGAGAAUGGUGGUAAAUUGCAAAUGUGCGGUCAGUGGAAAGAAGUGAAGCACUUCGUUUGCAAUCUGCCACCUGAAAGAAUACAAUUCUACGUUUUGUGGUGACAGGACGAUGUGACAGCAGAGGGGAGCGCAUGCGCGUGCGCGCUUUUCCCUCCAUCCUCAUUAUUUUUCAUGGUUCACCUAGUAGUAAGGCAUUUUUCUUUCACAGCAGCUGCUGUGCCAUCUGUCUCUGCUAUAUUAUCUGCCAAUGGUGGCAUGUUUUCCAAUCGUAGAAAAAAAAAUCAGCCCCACAUCCUAUGUCAUCUUUCUUAUGACAAUAUAUCCCUCUUUAGAAUCACUGAGAGCGCCUUGUCUCUGUAAAACUCAGAAUGUUAAUUCACUCUCACUUUCAUAGGUCAGUAUGCAUUUCAAAUUCCUGUCUAUAAGAAAAGGUUUGAGGCAACUUAAGUCACGCUGCAUUGGGUUGACAGAGACAUUCUGUCCCACGCUAGGAGGAUUUGGGGUUGUUUUUCUGCCAUUGCCAAUUGCAGGGUAAUUUCUCCAGGAAGAAAGUCAUUGAACACUACUGUAAAGUGUGGACCACUUGUGACUAAUGGCAAAAAGAAGAGGCACUUUAAUAUAUAGACUUUUAAGGUUUAUUGACAAAGUAUGAUGAUUUUCAAGUUAAAUUACAUUUUAAUAAAAUUUUAAUUUAAAAAACAUGCUUGAAAUCAGGUCCUUUCAUGUAGAGCUCAUUGCCAAAACUAAUCAUCUGGAAUUCCUGAAUCAUUGAAUAUUAUGCCUAUACUAAUUACUGUUCACUACAUUCAUGUUCCCUUUCUUGUGGGCUGACACAGCCGUAAAGCAGCCCAGAUGUCUUUAUCUCAAAUAACAGUGGUAAGACUGAAGUUAGCUUCACUAAUCCCCACCAUUAACCAAACAGUGGAUUCUGUAAGGAUUUUUCGUAGGUUUUUCCUUCUUUACUAUCACUACAAUGCAAGCGGGAAUGUAUGGCUAUUUGGAAAUGGAGAAUAUUCAUGACAACUCACAAGAGGCCACAGAAAACAGCCUAGAUUGUCAAUAUGCUAUUGGUUUAAAAAUACUGAACCUGGGUGUUUUAUCUUCCAAAGUAAAGGUUUUAGAACAAAAGCUUAAACACCUGACACUUAUUAUGUAUUGUGUAGUUACAGCUCAUCAGUGGCCUAACUCUCACUGUAUUUCAUUUCAGAGGCAUUAUGUCAUGCCUCUGAAAGGUACCCCUACCUACCCCCUAAUUCAUAAUAACAGCAAGAAGAAAUCCUCUGCAAGCCAUAUGACAAUGUUGUCCCAGAAAGAUAUAAAUCAAGACAUUUAUGCAAUUUGAAUAAUUUAUUAACCACAUUAAAAAGAGAAAAGAAACAGAUAGGUUUAGUUAUAAUAUUAUUUUAACUACUCAUACAAAAAAUUACUAUUUCAACCCGUAACGAUUUUAAAAAUGUAUAUUUUACUCUUUCCAUACUAAGUCUUUGAAAUCCACAGUAUACAGCAUAAUUUGGACUUACACAUUUCAAAUGCCCAAGAGCUACAUGUCAGGAAAACUAUUCUGUAUAACCACAGAGGUAAAAGCUCUUCCCAGUCUAAUGGCAGCAUGGUCUGUGUUGCUCUAUGAGGUGCAGCAUUACUUGUAGAUUCAGGGUCAUUUUGCCCACCAUUGCAGGGAAGGCAUUACAGGAAACAUGCAGCAGUAACUCCUCAAUACUACAUCCCAGGAACCAGAGACAGGUCAGAACUGGAAGCCAGGCUGCAAGCUUCUAAGAGUUGUGCCUCGUGACUUCCAGCCCCUAGUGACUUCUGACAGACAGGCUCGAUUUCCUAAAAGUUCCACAUCCUCCCCAAAUAUUGCUACCAAUUGGCCAAAAGUGUUUAAAGUACAAGCCUGUGGGAAAUGUUUUAGAUUCUACCAGUCUCCCAAGAGGUUCACAUCUUAACAAUGCAAAAGCCUUUAGCCAAGCUUCAAGGAUCCUCCAAGUCUUAACUGUCCCAUUUCUGCUUAAAAGUCCAAACUUCCAAGUAUCUAUGGAGAUUUCAGGCAGUCUCUUAGAUAAGAAUCUGUGAAUCCCUGUGAAAAUAAAAACCAAUUACAUACUUCCAACGUGCAAUGGCCCAGAGCAAACAUUUCCACCACAAAAUAUGGGACAAGAGAAAAGCAAGGAGGAAAAAGAAAUGGAUAAAAUGAAGAUCAAAAUCCAGGAGGAAGGUGUUAAAGUCCAUAGCUCCAUGUCUAACACCCAAGGGGUAUGGCAUCAUCUGAGCCCCAGUGCACUUGAGCAGCCCACCUCUGUGUUGCCCAGAAUACACAUAUUCUCACUCCUGAGCUGGAUCCACUCAUUUACUACAAAUCUUCUAAACCGGCAUCCUAUUCUGGUGUCUCUAAUCCCACUCUGGAGUCUACUUCACACUUCUAACUUCAUGAAUAGCCUUCUCAGAGGCUUCCUAUAGGAAGUUUACUCCCUACACAGAUGUGCAUGCACACACACACACACACACACACACAGAGAGAGAGAGAGAGAGAGAGAGAGAGAGAGAGAGAGAGAGAGAAACAUGGCCUCCCAGGCUUUUUUAAAAAAUCUUGCAAUCGUGUAAUUCUUGUGUCCCUGGUGCCUGAAAAGCCGAUUUCAUGUGUAUUAUCCCAAGUUCUGCUCGAGUCUGCAAAGUAAACAGGCCCCUUUAGACCAUGGUUGAGUACUUUGAAGCUGAAUGAAAAAGAAAAAAACAAAAAAACAAAAAUCAAAAAAACAAAAAUCAAAAAAACAAAAAUAAAAAAAAACACUUCCCUGGGCAGCCUGCUUACUUCAAAGAUCCCUGGCUAUUCUCUCUUUUCAGGCAUCUUUUCAAAAGUUUGCACUCUUUAUACCCUCAAGGCUUCAAUGGGUGAGAUCUUGCCAACAAGACAUCUUUCUAUGUCCCUUGUGGAAAUUUUUUUUGUUUUUUGGUUUUUGGUUUUCGGUUUUGGGUUGUUUUUGUUGUUUGUUUGUUUGUUUGUUUAUGCACUAAUUUCUUUAACAGUUCUGACCUCUUUUGUCUGUUUGAUUUGUCUGCAACUUUGAAUGCAUCUAUGUCAAACUAUGUUUUCAGGCCAAAUUAAAUAGGUUUUUUUUUUACAUCAUCCUGUUCCACAUUUGAUCUUGACUCUUACUGUAAACCUGACUCAAGGCAGCCAACAAGACCCACACUGCAGCAUGAAUGUUAUUCCAUCUUAAAAUAUUUCCCCACCAAACGAACUAAUUGAUUACUUUUGAAUUCAUCCUUACAGAACAGUAGUAACUAAAGCCAAAAAAGAGAAGUCAGCAAUGUGAAGGUCAGGUUCAUGCCGCAGUCUGCGAUGGGUCUGCUCCCUGCAGCAGUAUUUCAGCCAGGAAGACAGAACUCAACAGAUAGCUUCAAAUGCAGGCUUUGGCAGCAAUCACACUCAGGCAGGUUACUGCCCCUGCUCAGGCUCAGCUCCUCACUUGAAAAUAGAGGUAAAAUGCAAAGCACCAUGGGUAUGAGCUAAUAGUGUGGGUUCACGACCUCCCUCCUCUGAGCCAAGGCAAAGCAGCUUAAGCCUUAUUUGUGGAAUGUACCAUAUAAUGUACAUAUACCUUUCUUCUCAGAGGUAACUAUGGGAGAUGCCCAAGGCCUUGAAAUUAUGCACGGUGAAGACCCAGUGAAGGCCAAGCUACAGGGCUAAACAAUGUCUGUGAGGUCAUGAAGGGAUCAAGCCAGAGGAAGUGAUAUAAUUUUCUUAUAAGCUAUUUGUUUUCUCCUUGGAAUAUUGUUCUGUGUUAAUUCAAUCAUAGAUUUUCCAGGCCUCAGCCUAAAAGAUGGUCUUGUGCCUGCAGCUAUUUUCAAAGAUAUCUACAAAAAAAAAAAAAAAAAAUCAACUCAUCCUCAGUUUGGUACUUGCUGACUACCCACCAUGUGCCCAGCACUUUUCUGAGCACCUAGGAGAAGUAGAAGUUAAUAAACCUGACAGAAAUAUUGCCCUUAUAAGUUACAUUCCUGCUCGCUGUGCAGACAAUAUCUAAGAAAGUUGGGGGUUGGGGAGAUGGCUCUGUGGAUAAGAGCAGGCGCUACACAAGCACAGGGACCUGAGUUCAAGUCCCCAGCAACCACAUAAAAAUCAGCCAAGCAUGGCCACACAUGCCUGUAAUUCUUCUCUUGGAGAAGAGACGGGCAGUUCUCAGGAGCAGGGCAGUCUGAUCAAAUUGAGGAAGAUUGAGUUCAGUGAGAAACCCUAUCUCAAAAGAACAACACAGGGAGACUGGCAGAACAGGAUACCAGAUGCCCUCCUCACACACAUGCAUAUGCACACUUUUAGAUACCACAUACAUGUAAAUAAAUAAUAAAUGAAUAUAAUACUUGGAUCACAUAAUUUAUCAAACCAAUUAAAACAAGGCACAAGAGAAAAUGGGGAACUGGUAGGGACGGCUAAAACAAUGAGGAUUGAAACAUGUGGAAAGACCCAGAUUACCAAAUCUUAGGGUACACAGAGGUUCUAGGAGCUGGUCUCUCUCUGCCACUUUGGGAUUCCCCAGAGUGAUGUGGUUAAAAGGGAUCAGAUCUGAGAUUUGAAAAAUAUCACCUAGCAGAAAGUACCUGGUUUAAUAAUACUCUUAGAGUUUGAAAAAAACAAAACAACAAUAACAAAAACAGGGACAAGUCCAGCUGGCCAUUACUGCCGAUCACCAGUUGACCAGAUGCACAAGGACUAUGUUCAUGUUUUAUACAAUGUACGGUCAAGGCCAGUAUAGGGGCCAAAUUGAAGAUUUUAUUAUGCCUUCUCAUGUUUCAUUUAUAUACAUAUUUCAAAAAUACAUGUGGGAGACUAGAGAGACAACUCAGUGUGUUAAGAGUGUGCUGCUCUCACAGAAGACUCUGUUCAAUUCCCAGCAUUCACGUUGUGGCUUACAACCAUCGGUCACUCUAGUUCCAGGGAGUUCUGGUCUCUGUGAGUGCCAGCUAUACACGUACCAGAUGCACAUAUAUAUGUGCAGACAAAACACUCAUGUACAUAAAAUAACUUUAAAAAUUAAAACACAGAGAUGUGUUAUGAAUCCCCUAAGUUACCAGUUCUUCCUCUCUAUGUCUUGGCUGCUUCUGCAGUAGUUACUGAUCCUAUCAUGGUUGGUAAAAUCUGCCUAUGUUCACAAGCUUCUUCUUUUCCCCCAUUUAUUUCCUUGUUUGUUUCUCUCACUUCCUGCAGAGAAUUGAAAGAUAUCAAGUAAAGCAGCAGAGUUUAAGGUACAAAGCUCCCAUGCUAAACUGUCAUACUGCCUCACAAGGAGUCCCCAAGACCUGGUGAAAAAUGCCCCAGAGUUAGGAGAGGCCCAAGAAAGUCUGCUCACAGUUCACUAAGGUCAUACCUGCCAGAAACAGGGUCCUGGUUAGCAAUGUUAACCUAGAUUGAGAAAGGGGCGUCAGAAGAAUUACAGGAUACUGAUAUGGAUAUCAGUAGGAUACACACACACACACACACACACACACACACACACACACACACGAUAGAGCUGACUCUAAAGAAAACCACUUCCUAAAAUCCAGUUUUUAGUUAUACAGUGCUUUGGUUGGAAUCCAAUUAUAGACUGAAUUCCCAAUUUAUAAAAUCCUGGUGGGAAUGGGUGAUCUUGGGAAAGAACAUAAAUAUCCUCUAUACAACUUCCUGUGUUUUCUUUCCCAUUUCUAUCUUUUUUUUUUUCUCUCCAUUUUCAAUCAGUUGUGAAUUCGGCCCCUACUAGUAGACUCAGAUAAAGAAACAAAGUGGGACAUAGGUCUUCUCUAGGUUGUAGACCCCACCAGGUUUGGGUUUUUUUGUUUUUUGGGUUUUUGGGGUUUUUGGUUGGUUGUUUUGGGGGUGUUUUUGUUUUUGUUUCUGUUUUGCCUCCACUUUUUUCCUUAAACUGUUUUCCAUUACAAAGAUAGGGAGAAGUGGGGUGAUGAGGAGAGAAGGAAGGGGGCAGGGAGAGAGAGAGAGAGAGAGAGAGAGAGAGAGAGAAUGCUUUUGCUCUCCCCAGCUGUCAGAUGAAGACAGCUGCUUAGAAUUUUAUUGGUGACUCACGUGCACUUCCUUCUGUGAGCUGUCAGCUCUCUGAAAGACAUCUAGAGAUGUGACAUGAUUUAACUCAAUAUUCUAAGGACAUGUUGGCUGACUCUCAGAGGAAUCCAAUCCUAUAGGUUCCUUGUUGCUCCACAGCAGAUCUGUAAGGGCAUGCAUAGGACCUGGAGCCGGGCAUCACCCACACUAGCUCUCUACCUGCAUAGGCGGGGCUGCAGAACUUAGCAGCUCUUAGCAGCAGCAUCUCUGAGGGCUUCACAGCAUGCAUGUUUAAUGGAGAAAGCACAGCCACCUGUAGGGUUGAGCGAGUACUUCACAGUCUCCUUACUCUGUACAAAAAGAACCAGGGAGUACGUGGUUUUGUUAAAGUCCUGGAUAUUUAUAGGUGCGCUGAGAAAAUACAAUUAGAGGACUUUGGUGCCAGUGUGUGGACUGGGAUGAGCUGGUUAGACCUCCUCCUCUGAUUCUUAUGUAUAAAACAGGAAGAAUGGGAAAGUCACAUUCUCUUUCCAACAACCAUGUGACAAAGAAUUGUGUUUAAGUGGAAAUAGCUCAUAAAUAUUUCAAGGUGCUUAUUGUUACAUACUCUUCUACUUUUAGAAUUUUAUAUGAAUAAGAUGAAGACAGAGUUUCAGUUAGGUCCUAAAACACAAUCAAAAUAUCAGAAGGAGGUGACAAAGCACUUCUACAAUCAAAGCUGGUUCCAUGACUUCUUUUCUUCCUCCAACUUUUUGAGAAAAUUAAAAAUUACAGAAAAACAGAAGAAUGGGCAAUUGAUAUUCUUCAUCUUCAUGUUCCAACUGCUUUAAGUUCUGUCUGCUCUCGUUCAGUGAACAUUUCACCCAUAAGUACUUUCUCCAUUAUCUCCUGAUUAAAAGCAGUCCUCAUAUGACCAUGACACAGUCAGCAUAUGCAAGACCUUCCAACACAUUUCCAUAAUCUAACACUCAAGGCUCACUCCUAUUUCUUCCAGUGCCCUUUAUGGAUUUGUAGGGGGUUUUUUGUUUUGUUUUUCUCUGAAAAGAAGUUGGGAACACAAUUUGGCUGAAAACCCCCAUAGUGAGUGAUAGGGAUGCAGCUGAGUGUGGAGUACUUGACUUUGCAUGCAUUCGACCCAGUUUCUAUCCCUGGCACUAAAGAGAGAAGGAAAAUGAAGAUUCCUACAGUGUUGUACAGGAUGUUCUGUUGUGGCUAGUCAAUCUCUUUUCAUUUAAAAUGAUUUCUCCAUCCCAUUUUCGCUUUAGUGACCUUGACCUACAGGCAAAUCUCCUGCAAUUUGUUUAGGAGAACAUCUCCCUAUCAGUAUAUCUGAUCUGGUCUCAUAGAUCGAGUUAAGCACUUUUAGUAAAAACACUUCACAGAUCUCUCCAAGGAUGGAGAAGAGCCACUGUGCCCCCCCUAUUGUUCAGUUUUAAGGUGAGUCUUGCAGGGUGAAACCUGACAGGCAUUCCCCACAGGGGCCAUAUCUUUGACUUUAGUAAAUAACCUUAGUGGGUCUCUAAGUGCUGUGAAGAGCUGAGAGCCCAUAGCCUCUCCAGUUGUACAAUUUGUUGCAGAGGAGCUGAGAGACAGUGAAAUCCUGAUUCCAUCUACAACUGAAAUCAGUCUAUAAAAUGAGUUUUCCUUUUGCCCCUCCACUCAGUUCCAUGAAUCUGAAGCUCACUCUAGUGUAAGAAUAUGAACACUGAGAGAGCAAGAGAAGGGAAACAUUGAGAAGGGUAAUACUGAGAAACCUGUGCUGUGAGCUCCAUCUACCUCAGCAGGGGUUUCUUUCUGGAAAUUUUCAGGACCCCUGGAGUUGCUUUGCUUUGCUUCCUUCCUUCCUUCCUUCCUUCCUUCUUUCCUUCCUUCCUUUCUUUCCUUCUUUCUUUCUUUCUUUCUCUUUUCUGACUAAGUUAUUUACAUCUUGAGUGCAGCUUCCCCUCCCUCCUCUCCUCUCAGUCCCCCUCUCUGACUUCACUGUCCCCUCAUCUACCCCUCCUCCCCUUCUCCUCAGAAAAGGAGAGACCUCCCACAAAUACAACCAGCCUAGGCACAUCAAGUUGCAAUAAGACAAGUGCAUCUUCUUCUAUUGAUGCUAGAUGAGGCAGCCCAGCUAGGGGGAAGGGAUCCAAAGACAGCAAAAGAGUCAGAUGCAGCCCCUGCUCCUGCUGUUAGGGGUCCCACAUAAAGACCAAGCUGUACAACAGGUAACAUGUGCAGAGGGCCUAGGCCCAUCCCAUGUGAGCUCUCUGGUUGACGAUUCAGUCUCUGUGAGUACCCAUGACCCAGGUUAGUUGAUGCUGUAGGGUUUCUUGUGGUGACCUUGACCCCUCUGCCUCCUUGAAUCCUUCCACCCCUUCUUCCACAGGAUUCCUCAAGCUCCACUUAAUGUUUGUCUGUGGGUCUCUGCAUCUGUUUCCUUCAGUUGCUGGGUGAAGCUUCUCUGAUAACAGUUAUACUAGGCUACUGUCUGAAAAUAUAGUAGAAUAUCAUUAAUAGUGUCAGGGGUAGGCUCCCUCCCCUGGCAUGGGUCUCAAACAGGGCCAAUCAUUGGUUGGCUCUUCCCGCCAUGUUUUACCCCUGAACAUCUUAUAGGCAGGACAAAUUGUGGGUCUACAGUUUUAUGGCUAGGUUGGUGUCCCAAUUCCUCCACUGGAAUCUUGCCUGGUUACAGGAGAUGACCAGUUCAGGCUCCAUAUCUCCUACUGCUAGGAAUCUUAGCUAGAGUCACCCUCAUAGAUGCCUGGAAGUUUCCAUUGUCCUUGGUUUCUAGCUGGUCUCAGAGAUGCCCAUCCCAAAUCCAAUCGUCUCAACCAGUAAUCUGUCCCUCCAUCCUUCUAUGGCUGAGGAACACAGUGACCUGGGACCUGACUUUUGCCUGGAAAAUCUACAAGUGGAGUGUUAGACUGACUAUCUGCCUUGAUAGCACAGCUAGCUGAGUGCUGCCCUCCUGUGGACAGCAGAGUGCCCAGGUGAAGUGUUCUGUGUUAGCUGAAACCUCUUAGAGGGCAUCUAGAAUUGGGGCCAAUGAUGGGAGGGGUUCAAAGACUAGAGAAAUAGAGAAACCCACCACACCCUAAACUAUCCUAUUGUUUCAGGCUAUUCAGGCUCCAGGUGGGGAAAGAGAGAAUUCUAACUAUUGAUUGAAACCUAUAAAGAAUGUGUUUAGUACUUAAAAUUAUCUUUGAAAUGCCUAACCAUGGGCAGAAGAGCUAUGGGACGAGCAUGAGAUUUCAGUGGGGCUGAUAGAAUAAAGGACCAACAACUAUGCAAAUAUAAGGCUGAGUGAUUGCAUCCCAAUCAUGCUUGCCCACAUAUUUCAUAUGUUUUAAAACUAUCUGACUUAAAUGACCUUCCAUUAGUUGCAGAAAACAUGUUUACUUCAAAAUAAAAUACUAUGACAUCCAAUAUAAUUGGAGUAUAGAAAAGUGCUACGCGCCUUAAGAUUCAAAUUUCUAUAAAUUAUAGAAUUAGGUGUUUGGCUACCUUCCAAAAUGUAUACAUUGCAAGUAGGUAUUCUUUGUACCCUCUCAUUACAUCCCAAAGACCCUCCUUAGGCAUCUGAAGGCUCUAGGGAGUAAUUGUCAAUGUUCAGGGCCUGGAGGACAUGAUAUGCCAUAAAACCUUAAGCUGAAACAUACCCAUCCUUUCUGAUGUACCUCUGUGCUAAGGUUUACUUUUAGAAAGGAAGGCUGUGAGGCUGACUGGCUUCAGUUGACCCAAUCAUACAAAAAUAUUGAAAAUUAAACAAGGAUACUUUUGAACUUUUAAAAAUUCGAACAUAAACGACCAUAUGUUACUUUCAUGUGAAAACCAGAUUGUGGGUUUUAAGGACCAGCAGAUGGGAGGGAUUUGUGCAGAGCAGUGGAAAGUGUCACCAACAUUGUUAUUUACUUGGAAAUAUGGAACAUGUUACAUUGCUGGUUUUGAGACUGGAAAAGCAUUGUUACAGAACAAAUUCAAUCUCCAACUAUAGAGGAGUGUUUUCAUAUAAUGAGACAAAGAAAAUACAGUAUGACAAGAAUUCACAUAAAACAAAACAGAAGGGAAAAUGGAACUAUUAAAACAAAGAAAAUCUUAAGAAAAGAAGGAUGAAAUUCUGUUUUACCUUUCCAUUUCCUUAAUCCCUUCCUGAGAAAAAUAAAAUUGACCAGAGCUUUUCUCAAAACACUGACAGGAUACAUUUUAAACAAUGUCACCAUAUGAAACUCAGAGUAGCCCAAAUCAGAAGAUAGGAGAGAGUACAGCACCUGUGUCCAAAGCCGGCUUUCCACUUGUUCAUACACACCAAGCACAGAUAAGCUAUUCAAAACAGAAGAAAGCCACAUCCCUGUGUGACACAUUUAAUCUAAGAGAGGAGGUAAGAAGCAAGAAGUAUAGCAUUAAAAAGUUUAGUAAGUAGCCAGACAAAGGGGAAUACUCUGGAAGAAAGAAAACAAGCGUGUUAUUAGGACAGCAAUGCUUACAAAGCUGCUAAUGACCACAGGGAGAUGAGAUUUGAGUAUGACUUGAAGGGGUCAUAUGAUUAGCUGAGAGAGGGAUAGAUUGUUUCUUCCUGAAGAACAGUAUAAGGGUCCUGGGAUGAGAGCUGCCCGUCUUGUUUGAGGACAUCAGGGGGCUGCAGCAGAAUAACUAGUGAAAAUGUAGGGAUGAGAGAAAGAUGAUGGAGCCACAUCCCUUGAGCCCUCUGAAUUUUCAAUCACGAAGUAAUAUGAGGUGGGUUGCAUUUCAAAAGGAUCCCUCCACCUGAAUUACUGUUGUGAAUUAUUGUUGAUGCAAAUGUACCAUCAGGGAACAAUCUUAAGAAAUGGCCACCACAACCUAGGUGAGAUGCUCAUGGUUAGAUGGGGUGUUAGCCAGUGACAUGCAAUGAGGUUUGAGCUUGGACCACAUUAGAAUAAGAUGGGUUCUUUAUAUGACAAGAGGAGUAGAACAUAAAUGACUGUAAGGUUUAGGCUUGAAUCACUGGGAGAACAGAGAUGCUCUAAACUUUAGGUAGUUCUCACCUUCCUAAUGCUACAACCCUUUAAUACAUUUCCUCAUGUGGUGACCCCCAACCAUGAAAGUAUCCCAUUACUACUUCGCAAUUGUAAUUUCGCUCCUGUUCUGAAUUGUAAUGUACAUAUCUUUGGAGAUAAGAAGUUUACCAAGGAGGUCACAACCCACAUGUUGAGAAACACUGCUCUAAACAGAUUUGGAGAUUCCACAUGUUGAUAGGAUAGGGAAAGGUUGGGUUUAUCAUCCUGAGUUGGGAAUGUUCAUUUGAUAGUCAAAUAGAGAUGCUAAAGUUGGACCCUGAGUCUGACACUUGGGAGCUAGGCCUGACAUGGAAAGAGGUAGAUUUGGUAGUUGUCUGCAUAUGAAUGGAGUUUCAACAUCUUAAGACUUGAUAGAUACAAUUACAGUUAGAGUAAAAUAAGUAGAAAUGGACAUAGAAUGAAAUGACUAAGGACUGAGUUCUAAAGUUCUCCAAUAUUAGCUAGUUUAGAGGAAGGUGAGAAGAGUGUGGUAUCUGAUAGAGGAGUGCAUUGACUGCUGCUAAAGGUCAGGUGAGAUGGACAAAGAAUUGUCUACCAUCAUCAGCCUAGUGGAGAUCUCUAACUCACAUAGCAAGUGAAAAUGGAAGUCAAGAGCCACUUAAUCCUUAUUUAUGGCUUUCUUACUUGCAAAAAAGUGGGGAAACUGCAUUUAGAAUACCAACGUAUAUGUUUACACAUCAUCCUAAAGAUAAAGAUCCAACCAACAGAAGACAAUGAGCAGAAACAGAAACUUUGUUGGUGAUGAAAAUUGCAGAUACCUGAAAACCUGGAGCACUAUACAUUAAAGUAGAAAAGGAAUGCAUUUAGGUGGGUGGGUGAGUGGUUAGUUGGUCUGUUUUUGGUUCGUUCAUUGGUUGGUUGGUUGGUUGGUUAGUUGGUUAGUUUGGCUAGUUGACUGGUUGGCUGGUUUGUUGUUGGUUAGCUGAUUUGUUGACUGUCUGACUGCUUGGUUGGUUGGUCGGUUGGCAUGCCCACAGAAGAGAAUGUAAACGGUACGCAUGAUACAAUGCUUAAGGUACUAAGGAGAAACAAUGCUUCAAAGAUGUCAUAUUCUAGAGAAAAGAUAGAUUAAGAGGACAAGUCUACAGUCAAGGUCCUGCCCUUCCCCAUUAAUGAAUGAAGCCAGGUCCACUAACUAGAAAUUCUAUGUAUAUAUACUUAAAACUCCAAGUCCAUUCUAUUACUCACAUUCAAAUCAGCAACAACCAAGUCUUACAUAUCAUCUUCGUGAAAAAAAAAAAAAGAAACUAUAUUUCUUUGAAGAAAAGUAAUUAUCCCAGGAAAAAUUCUAACAAUAAUAACAUUAAAGAAAAAAUUAACAAAAGAAUUUCAAGCGUAUAAAUUAUGCCUACAGUGAAUUACACUAAUUGAAAAGCGUUGUUCAAACACAAUUUCAAAAUUUUUGUUCUUAAACAAGAACAGAAGACUUGUGAUCACUUGCCAUGCAAGACGGUCUCCACCUGGGGCUAGAGAGAUGGUUCAGCAACUAAGAACACUGUUGGUCUUACAGAGGACCAGAGUUCAGUCACCAGCACCCAUAUGGUACAUCCAGCAUGCUUUUCUGGCCUGCAUGGGGACCUGAACAGACACACACACACACACACACACACACACACACACACACACACUCACAAAAGUUCUUAGAAGUUAAAAAUAAAAUGGCUAAGAUUAUUUUAGUUAAUAAAGAUGUUAAAUAUUUAGUUGAAAUGUUCUAGAAAAUGUGAAGAAGAAAAACAUACAAAAAGAGAAGUGAAAAUGUAAGAUUAUUAAUGUUCUAUCCAGGAGAUCCAAUAGCUUCUCAAAGCAAGGCUAUCUAGAAAGAAAAAAUAAAACUGAGAAUUUGUCAUGACCAUCAUGACCAUUUCUGGAUCUGAGUAUCACAAUUCUCCAGGCUGGAAAUGCCCACUGAAGACCUAGCACAAUAUCAGAGAGACUCAGCAAGACCGGUAUUGAGAAAGCAUCCUAAAUACCCUGAGGUUUAACACAUAUGACUGGGAGGAUCAGAACUGCCUAGGCAAAACUCAAUAGCAACAUUGCAGGCAGGAUCAACAAAGCUUUGAACACUAGGACAUGACAAGUAACUUGCCCACCACAGGUGAAGAAAUAAAUCAUUUGGACUUUCUGUCCCUCAAACACAGUUUCUCAGAAACUAUUGGAAAAUGUGCUCAAGGAAAUGAGGGAACAAAACCACAGAAAGGAAGCCACAGGACUCAACUCACUGGAAGAGAUUUUCCCAGAUGCCUGUGGGAAGGGGCCAGAAUAAAGGCUGUGCAGUAGGACACAUGUGGCUUCUGGGGAGCAAGUUGCCAACAAAGCAGGAAGUAAUGGAAUUCCUUACAAACUUCACCAUGUUGAAAGAAAGUUAAGACUUAGCUAUACCUCCAAGGCCAGCUAAUGAAGAGCUAGUUAACAAGAGGAGGGAAAUCAUAGUAGACCUCUUUGGUAGGCGUAGAAACAAGUACUUAGUCAUAAAAAUGAAAACACAAUACAUCGUAUCUAAAUUUUACUUGUUCCAACUUUUACUAUUUUUAAUAAAUAUUAUUAGAUCAGAUAAGAUGUUUAAUUUAAGACUUUUGUACUUAUAUUCAUAAAAACAUGAACCUGUAAUUGUCUUUUUUUGUUAUCUUUGUUUGGCCUUACAGGUUAUUCAGUUCUUGCUUCUCUUAUAGGGCCAACAUACUCUACAAAUAGUUAAUAUUUAACUCAUGCCAACUGCCUAUAAUAACCUUGCUGGAAAUUUUAAAUGAUAAAAGUAGGGUGUACUGUAAAGAUAAAACAAGACUGAGCAGAUCCUGGUGCAGUACCACAUAAUGACUACCUGAGAAGUCAUAACUCUGUGAUCCAAUCCGAAAUAAAUCUAGUGGCACAAUCCUCCAAUGAAACUCCCAACAGAGGCAUUGUCCUUAGCUUGAAGACAGCGGGCUUGGUGGUGGUUGUGGCUAGGAGCACAGAGAGGCCUUCAAAGAGAGAUUAGGCUUUGGCUCUGUAGGUGAAGUCCUUCUCCAUGGCUCCUGGUGACAGAUCUUGGUUAAAAGACACAGUCAAUGGUUCUAAAUAGUUUAAUGUCAUGGUGGAAAGGGAAUGUGUAAAGUCAUACCUCACUUCUCAGGGCAGGCCUGAGAUUAAAUACCUUUUGCAGGGAGGAAUGUCUCAGAAGGGAAGUUAGUCAGCUAAUCCCUCCAGGCUUCUAGGUACCUCAUUAGCAUGUAGAACUGUGAUCACUUCUCUUUUCCUAUUGUCUUGGUCUAAGGUGUUAAGGAUGCCUCGUCUACAUGUAGAAGGGCUUGGGUCGUUGCCCUUACUUGGCUGAAAGCCACAAAUCACUCUGUGAGGGGAACUGCAGCUAUGUGACAGGGACCUAUCGCCAGGAGCAGGUGAAGCUCCUACCAUCCCUUCAGGGUCUCUGAGGCUUCUAGCCUUUACCAGGCUUCCUCUCACAGUCCAGUGCCCCACAAUUAGCAAUAUCUAAAAUAAUAGAGGUAUAUGAGGGGAAGCCAACAAGCAAUGUCUCAAAAAAAAAAAAAAAAACAGUCAAAAACUAGUUGAGAAAUACAGAAAUUAACACCAGAGAAACAUCUAUCUAUAAGAAAUAUCAUAUAUCAGAUAUCAUUCUGGGAUAUAAAAAAUAAGUUCAAGAAACUGAGGCUUUUGUUAUAAUCCUUUUAAACAUUAACUCUUUAAACAAUGUACAUGUAUAACUUUGAAAAAAAAAAAGAAGACUGAAACAACUCAAAGAGGAUAAGAGUGUCCAUAACUAUAAGUGGUCAGUAUUAAAUGACUGUGACUGUCAAAAUCCAAUCACAGCCUUGGGGAUUAGAAACAGAGUCAAUCCUAGUUGUCUUAUCCCUUACUCCAUGAUCAGCUACCACCAGCUAGGGAACAGAUACUCAAAACACAAGCCUGUGGGCUAUGGGGAACAUUCAUAGUGAAACCAGAGUAUUUCACACUGGCUCCAAACGGCUAACAGCUAUCUCAUAAGGUAAUGUGGACUUAGUUCAUUCCCAGAGUCCUCAGUGUCUUAGACUAACACUUUCAAAAUUCUAAGUUAGUCUUUACUGAGAUUCAAGGUAGUCUCUUAACUAGGAACUCCUUAAAAAUUAAAAUGAAUAUUAUCAAUUCUAACAGCAUUAACUAAUGAUUGAUGAUUAACAUUACUUUUCCAACAGACUAUGGCAUAGAUUAAGCAUUUCCAAGAAGGAGAAAUAGGAGGAUAACAAAGAACGAUUGGACAAACCUUCUGUACAUCUGUGUCCAGCAUCUAGGACACAUGGUAGUAUGAUAAGAGCUCCAACAGCCCACUCCCGUGCCCUGGCAUUUGCAGCCCACGUGUUCUCUGACUCUAUUUAUUGCCUGCAGCUUCCCUCUGCAGAUAUCCCACAUUCCUGGCAUCUCCCCACUCCUGUGAUUUCCAGUGCAACUUAGGUUUCACUCUCAUAGCUUCAUGGGCUACCCUCACGGGGCCUUCCUGAGAGGAAUCCAACCCUGCAGCACACUGGCCUCACAGGCUCUCCUUCAGAUUCUCUGUCUAAGGAUGCAUGAUGGCAUCACUGUUCGGGUCUGUGUGCCUACAAAACCAAGACCACAUGCACUACAUCAAGAUCUACACAUAGCCUGGGCCCUAGUCAGUCCUCCUUGCCCAUGGCUGCACUAACUUCUGAAUCCUUAUGCAACUGAACCCAGGAAAACACUUCCCUUGGCAAUUCCAUGCAAGUGGGGUGCCCUAGUAACGCUCUCGUCUCAAAGUUUACAGUCAUACACCCCAGAGCCUUUGGGGGGAGGCACUAACUGAUUCACUAUUGUACCAAUGAAAAGGGCUUGGCUUCAUUGAAAAAACACAUUUUUUAAAAAUUACUUUUUAAAAAAAAUGAUUUAUUCUUUGACAAUUUCAUGUACCCCAAUCUGCCCCCUCUCAAUUUUCCCAGAAUUGAUUCUUUAAUAUAUGCAAAGUGUUUAGAACAUUGCCAGAAACACCGUGAGUGCUACUUAAGUAUGAACUAUUAUUUUUAACACCCCAGGUGAUAAAGGAUCCUUACAUUAAUGCAAAGUAGUCUCACAAAAUCUGGAAUGGAGAUGUGCACGUGUUCAGGACGUAAAAAACUCAGUCGAACUGAUCCCUGGGCAAGGAGUGUUUGUGUGCAUCACAGGAGAGCGAAUGCAGGGGUUGGGGGUGGAGUAAACAAACCAGAGUAAACAGGAGACAUUAUUCCUCUGUGUCAAUCUUACUCAAGAGUUUAUAAAAAGAAAAACAUUAUCGUUUUAAAUUUAUAUUAUGGCAAUAGAAAGCUUGCAUACACGUUUGUGAUCAAGCCCAAGCUGUCUAAAUAGUGGGUUUUUGGCUGUUUUAGUGGAUUGUGGAGCAGAAGUACUGCCUUAUCAUUAAAACCUUCCCUAUACUCUCCCUUAGCAAUGGAUCCUGAGAGCUACAAUGACAGAAACUGACAUCACUGAGUGAGGGGUGGAGAAGGCCCCCACAAAUAGGAAGGGAAGCCCCAAAGAAAGUCUAUAUGUAAGCAGACACUAUGUAGAACGGUGAACCCGGGCAAGCAACACAGCACAGGGCACUGCAGGGCAGGCCCACGGGGGCCAGCUAUGUUAGGCAUCUUCUCAUCACGGAAUACCUGAAACGAUCUCAAAGGAGAAAGGCUUGGCUUGGGUCCCCGGUUUCAGAGCUUGUAGCCCAUCACGUCAGAAGGACAUGGAAGGAGAAAGCUUCCUGUAGUAGCCAGGAAGAGGUGAGAGAACCAAGAGGAAGAGUCCAGAACAAAACUCUAUACUCAAAGACUGUACAGCUGCUUCCUCCAGCCAGGUUCACCUUCAACAUCUCCCCAGCUAUUCCAUUUCUGAUCCAUGACUGAACUAACCCAUUGACGAAGGCAGGGCACUCCCGACUCAGUCACUUUCCAAAGCCCUGCCUCUAAAUACAUACUUUGUUGAAGACCAAAGCCACUGAUGCGGGAAACUUUUGUCCCCUUCAUACUGAAACCACCGGCCAAUCUCAUAAGAGCUUCUCCACCGCAAGCUUCCCAGCCGUCCUGGGUGCAGCCUCAUGUUUUCACAGAUACAGCUGUGAGUGCUUUGUUAAAAAACAUUAGAUGGUUAGCAACUCUUCUUUACCAGGCAGUUUAACUGAUGAGAAGCUGAGAAAAUUAUUCUGCUCCACCACUGCAAAUUUAAAAGUUGCCUUUUGGUUACCAGAUACCUGGCAGUCAUAGAUAAGUAUGGGAGAGCCAAAAUGCACCAGAGGCAGCCAGGGGCAGCCUGAGAUGUAAGGGAAGCAAGCUUUUAAUGUCAUUAAGAUGAAGAGAGCUUCUCCUUCCAGACAUCUCCCACGGCAGGACCAAAGAGACAGCUAGCCUAGACUAUUAAAAGGACAAUAAAGACUGCUUCCUUUGGAUCAUUAAACUGGAUUGGCCAGGAGAAAAAUCUCAUUAGGGUUGAUAUUUUUCCCACUCUGAUCAAUCUCUGCCAAGUUGUUUACUUUACUCUUUGAUCCACGGGAUAGCUCGCCUUUUAAAAUAUAGUUAAAAGCCUGUCCCCAGAACAGAUGCACAGACAGUUAUGGAAUAGAAGGCUCCAGACAGGAUAACAGAACAAGAAGCUAUGUGUCAAGAUUCUACCUCCAUCUCAUCUGUCUGACCCAUGAGGAUGGCAUUCAAAUGACUCAAAUGACUUAAAACAUCGGACAUUAAAGCCUUGAGCCAGUUAGCGGUAAUGAAAUGACAGGUGUUGCCAAUUAUAGAACUAAGUGUCAUGCAGCACUGGGGGAGAUGGCUAAAUUUAUUUUCAGCAGCUCAAAGGAUGUUUGGAAAAGUAUUUUGCCCAAUACAUCUCCUUCUGACGUGCCCAAGGGCCUAUUUCUUCAGUCGAUUCAGAUAUUUGCUGUCACUCUGUGUCUCAAAGAAUAUAAUCAAAACGGUGGGCAUGAAACACAAAUGCAAGGGAGGAGACACGGAUAGGGUGUGUCGCUUCACGUCUCUGAGCAUGGAGGUUAAAGGGAAAAUGUACGACUAGCAGAAAUGAACCUUCAUCUUUCUGUGCCUUGAUUUCUUCAAACACAAAAUGAGAUUAUGGCACUACCACUCACCGUGUGACUGUCCCUCGGGGAAUGUGAAGAGACAUCUAUUUACCCCAGAUAACACACUAAUGGCAGAACAAAGACACUCAAGUCUAGCUUGGGGAACCAGUGAGUUGACUGGGUCACUAACAGGAACAUAAGUAGUGAUUUACUCACAGGAGCAUGGGUAAUUCAAAAGCAGCUGCAUCUCAGAAAAGUACAUCCCAUCAUAAGUGACAACUCACGACAGCUAAAUCCCUGGAAUUCUCUUUCCAACUUGCAAGCAGCUCUGCUGAAGAGGCUCCUUCACCCCAGCAACCAUUUGCUACUUAUAUGGACUUGGACCACGGUGUCACCAGUAUUGUAACUACUGGGGCUUCCUAAGCCAUACAAGUUUCAUGAACUUCCUGAGCUUUGUAGUUUAUUAGCUGCUAGAGUCUUCUGAGCUUCCUUCCUUCUACCUGGAGGUAAUAUUUCAAUUCAGAGGAAAUAUCUUCAAGACAUUACCUCAUAGAACUACAAAAGAAACCCAUAAAUGCAGUAAUAUUGAGGAAACUCCCAGCACAUAGUCUAGCAUAUAACCAACAACCAAUAAAGUCAGCUCCCUCUGUGUUCCUCUGCUGCCCUGCGACCUAGAUACCCACCUGCCUGGAGUGUCCAAUAAUACUCAAUCCAAAGCUUGUGGGAAUUGUUGAUUAUCUGCCCUGUAGCCACACUGCCUUCUUGGUAUACGGGUUUUCAUUCAGUGUAUUCCCUGUCCCUGAGACUGACUUGCAAGCCUCCUCUUCCCUGACUGGUCCUCAGUUACAGGGUAGGUUAUGAGCCAAUCUCCCUGCCAUUCCCAUUUUUCCAAGUCAUUAGUUCAUGUCACUGAAGCGGCCCACUCAGAGGGCAUCUCAGAGUUUUACGUAGAACCAUGAGCCAAAGGGUGACGCUGAAUACGUUCAUGCACAAUACCCUCGGAUGCUAUAGGGGGUAUAUUAAUGCCACAAGAGGAACACCUUAAAGAGAGCAGGGAGCUUGAGGUAAAGGUUAGCCCUUGGUAGCUUGACAGAAGAACCAUCCAGUGACAAGCAUGAAUAAAUACCUUUUCGUUUUAAAGACAUUCAACUGAGUUUUUGAUAGCCUAACUUCCAUAGAAUAUACAUAGAAUAUUCAUAGAAUAAAAACCCCUAAUCAAUACACCAAGAGGAUAGAGAUAUCCUUAUUUCUUAGUAAGGAAAGCUACAACUCAAAGCUCAAAAAGGUUAGAAUUAAAAAGAAAAAUCCUAGUAAUUCUUAACAACAUCGUCCUGAGAUAUUUUCAAUAAUAUACUUAAAUGUGAAUUAAUAACUUCCAUGUGUUUCUGUGUGGCUGAUUAUGGCUAUUGUGAAACACCAGAAUGACCUUAUAUCAUUUUUCUGAUAUACACGAAGAGGAGAUACAAGAGACAGACAUACAAGAGAAGGUCUUGAUAUACAAGAGAUAGAAAGAUAGAGACAUAUAGCUAUUCUGAAAUAAUCAUAGAUUGGUUCUGUGAAAUAAACAUACAUAGCCAUUUAACUUUCUUAUUUCUUUCUUUAUACCUUUAUAGAUUAUUCAUUCUGGUCCAUUCCUUUGGAAAACUGUCAGGUUAUUCAAACUCAGAUGUUCAUAGCAAAUUAACUGUUAUUCAGUGAUAAGCGACUGAGAAUACCAGCUUUGAGAAUGUAUAAGGUCAGAAAUUAUCUUGACCACAUUUUCUGAUAGGAUUUGAGGUACUUAAGAGAGCAUAUACCAAUACACUAGCAUGAGCCACAGUGUCUGAAGCCCCAGAAGAAAUGAUAGCCUUCCAUCCAGGCAAACACGCCCUGGGGCAAGUCCUUCCAUGGCGUCUUUUGACUUCUAAUAUACACAGACUAAUUCUCUCAGCAGAGAAUGCUAGUGUUAGAGAAACAAAACUUAAUAGAUGAGCCUCCCUGAUAAACUUCUAUGCCCCUUUUCAGUGCUGUUUUCCUCUAUCAGUUUCUAGCUUUCUAUAUAGAUAUAGAUGAUUAGACAGAGACAAGAUAGAUAAACAGAGACAGAGACAGAGGUAGAGGACCCAGGUAAAGAAGGGAGCCCGAGAACCCAGAGAACCCAGUAGACUUAUUUGGGAAAUGACUGAGAGCAGUUGACCAUAUAAAGAUGAUGCCAGGUUUAGAAGACAGACUGGAAAUAUAUACCAGGACCAUGAACAGGAAGGCUUAAGGGCUUAAAUGCCAAUUCUACUACAUUAGAUCUAUUCCAGCCAAAUUUGCCAUUCAAAAUUAAUAUGAUAAACAAAUUAAGCAUUUAUAAGAAAACUAAGGUCGAAGAAGAGUCUAAAUGACUCCUGAAGAUGGGUAAGUGGAAGAGAAGGACCUGAUGUUAUGUUUUAGAUGCCAAAGCCUCUCACAGGCUCAUGUGUUUCAACAAGUGGUCCACAGCUGAUAUCCCUCAUGCAGGAAGUCACAGAACCCUUUUAAGUUGGGGCCUACCUAGAGGAAUUGGGUCUCUAGGAGGUAUGCUUGAGGCUCCAGUCCCCUAAUCUUUCUAAUCUGCCUAGAUACACAGGCAAGCUAUUGUUAACACAGCCACAAGCUGCUCCCAACACCAUGCCUCUCAUGUGAUGGUGGCUGGCCCCUCUCAUCAUGAGCCAAGUAAGCCAUUCCUGCCUUAUAUUUGUUGUCAGAUAUCUGAUCACAGCAAUGAGGUAGGUAAGUGCUGUAGGGGCCCUGCCAGGUCUCAGCACUCACCAUAAAGCCUCAGUAAGUCCUCACAGGAGGAACGAGCUGCAGAAUGCAGGGUGACUCUCCCUCUCCCCUCAUCUGGACAUCUGAAAUCCAUAAUGCUCCAAAAUCCAAAACUUUUGGGAUGGUGGACUCAAAUCCCCCAAUUCAAAAAUGUGCAGUUUGAAACACCGAGAUGUAAACAUUCCAGUGAGGGAUACUCAACCCAUGCCGGACACAGACGUUAGUGAGCAUAAAACUUGACUCAUAGCAAUAUGGCCUAGUAGAUAAAUAAGAAACCGUGAGACAAGGACUAGGCCUGUCCAACUUGUGUCUGGAGGCCACAUGUAAUCCCAGGAGAGCUAGGACAUAUUUAUAGAUGACAAAGCACACUGUCAGAAAGAUAGACAUCUGUCACACUACUCAGUAACUGAACAUGGGCUGGACCCUCCACAUCAAUCACUAAUCAAAAAAAAAAAAAAUGCCCCACAGACUUGCCUAUAGGCCAACCUGAUGGAGGCAUUUUUACAAUUGAAGUUCCCUCUUCCCAGAUCAUCCUUCCCUUGUCUCAAACUGAAAAGAAACAAAAGAAAGGAGAAAAUGACUAUUUUUGUGGUAAGAAGAAAUAAAUGAAACUAGGUCUUUGUUUUAUACCAUCCAUACACUAAAAUAAAUUAUAGGUCAGAAGCAUGACAAGUGUAAAACUUUAAAUUUUUAGAAGAAGAAAAACCACCUCUUUUCAUGUUUCAAUACUUUCCUUUUGUCAGGGGACACCCUAGAUCAGGGGGAGGCCUGGUGUCCUAGUUUUCUUCCUACUGCUAGGAUUACAUCAUGACCAAAAGCAACUUGGGGAGGAAAGAGGUUCCAAUCCAUCACUGAGGAAAGGCAGGACAGGAACCUCGAGGCAGGAACUGAAACUGAGACCAUGGAGGAACAUGGCUUAUUGGCUUGUUCAGUUUGCUUUCCUAUACAGCUCUGGACCAUUUGCCCAGGAAUGGGUCUGUCCUCAGCAGGCUGGUUCCUCCACACCAAAAAAAAAAAAAAAAAAAAAAAAGGCUUCACAGAUUUCUCUGCAGAACAAUGUGACUGAUGCAGGUGUUUUCUCAACUGAAACUCCCUCUUCCCAGAAGACCCUAGCUUGUCUCAAGUCAACAAAAACCCUAACCAGCACAGCGAUGUUCAAACUAUGGAAGUUCUUUUAUGACAGGUUGACUUCAUUAACACUGCUAGAGGAAAUCCUAGGAUUUGUAGAGAAACACCCUUAACCUACAGAAUAGAGAACUCAUGGCUCCAGAGAUAGACCACUCACCUAGGAAAAACUUCACCAUCCAGGACUUUACGUUCACAUAGGCUUCUCUCCUUCAUUUUAUUUAUCCAUUGCCUUGCUCCCAACAAAUUUUAAUUAAUUGGAAUUUGUUCCAUUGUUCACUGAUCCUAAAGAAUUUGACAUCCUAAGUAACAGCCCUGCCCCUGACCCUUAUCAAGGACACUCUCUCCCUUCUAUUGGGACAAGACAUGACUCUUUACUUACUACCAGUUAGUGUUAAGCAAAUGUGGAAAUUAUAGUCAAUAACUUGAAAUCACCAGGUUUUAUUAGAAAAUUGUCAGCUAUUUAAGCUUGUAUUGAUGGGGAAAUUGUAACUUUUGGAGAGUACCAGCAAACAAGUCUAGAUGAGAAGUUGGAAAGAGCAGAUGCAAGCAUAGCAUUAUUACAGGGAAGCAUCAGUCAAGAGGAGAAUUCAAAGACAAGAAAGCCAUGAUUUGUGACGGGAGAUAUGGCACAGUAACUGUGGUUCCAGGGGAUUCGAUGCUCUUUACUGUCCUGCAGGGUACCAGGCACUUGUGUGAUGCAUACACAUCACACAUAUGCAGACAAAUAUGCAUAAAAACUUCUUUAAAAAAAAAAAGAACAAAAGCUAGUGAGCUCUGCCUUUGCCUCAAGUGUUCCCUGGAGUAAAAUGGGAAGUCACUUUCUUGCUAGGGUUAAAGAGCAGGUGUCCAGAGAAGGAAGAAAUACUAGACGUCCACAGCUUCACAGAGCCUCCUUCUGGAGAAGGGUAUGCCAGGAAGGAGCAGAGUUCCCAGGGAGACCUGUGUCUGUCCAGAGACGUCACAGCACAGUCAGCAUCUUUCUUCUUCUUUUUUUUUUUCAUGUGGAACAGUUUAAUGAGAGGAUGAGAUAAGAAGAGAUGAGAGAGGGGGAGAGGGGAGGAGAGAGAGGGGGAGGGGAAGGGAGGGAGGAGGAGAGGAGAGAAGAGGAGAGAAGAAGAGUAGAAGAGAAGAGAAGAGAAGAAGAGUAGAACAGGAGAGGAGAGGAGUAAAGGCCGGCCAUGAGCAUGUGGAGGGAAGAUGGGGAGGGGAAUGGGGAGAGAAGGGACAAAGGGGGAGAGGGUAAGGGCAAGGGAGAACAAGAACAAGAAAGUAGCAUCUUUCUUCAAGGAGCUUUUCUUAGACGCAAGUUUCACAAAUAGGAAUAUAAGGUCCUAGGAUUUCACUAAGUUUGAACUUCUGUGAUAAUUACAGAGCAGGGAUGGCCUACCAGGAGGUAGGUUAAACACCCCUAAUCCAUCAGGCAGCUGUGGUGGCACAUGGCUUUAAUUCCAGAAUUGGGGAGUUAGAUGCACAGAAAGAGUUCCAAGACAGCCAGGGCUACAUAGAGAACCCCUGUCCCAGAAAGACACAAGAAAAAAAAUUCUCUAAUUCAAACAUUUAAAAUCAGAAAUGUUUUGAAAUCCAAACAUUUCAGCACUGACAUAACACCAUAAAAGGAAAAUUCCACAUCCACACCUAACCUCCUGUGGUGGGUCACAGUAAAAGUAUAGGUACACUUCAAACACUAACAUAUAAAAUAUAUAUGUGUAUAUAUAUAGUUUUAUAUAAAGUAAACCAGGUGUGGUGGUGCACACUUUCAACCCCGGCACACACAGUAGGCAGAGACAGGUAGAUUUCUGAAUGGGAGGUCAGUCUGGUUUACAGAGGGAGUGUCGGGACAUCCAGAACUACAUAAAGAACCCUAUCUCCAUAAAUAAAUACGUAAAUAAAUAAACAAGCAUACAUAUAAUAGGAAUUACCGUUAUCUAUGUAUAUGAGUUAUAUAUGAGUCAUAAAUGAAUUUUGCCAUGUCAAGGCCAUAUAUACAUGUGUAUAUAUAGACACACACACACACACACACACACACACACACACACACACACACUCUCACACCCCUCCAGAACAUCAAGGCUGCACACUGGAACCCUGCCAAAGUGACUUUGCUUUUCUGCAUCCCUGGUUCUGCAUCGGUAAAAUGAGGGUAAAAUAUUACUGACUUAAAUAGUCAUUACAAAGAUUACACACCGCUUAAUUAUUAUCAGUCUGUUCUACACCGAAGCGAGGUCUAGAUAGGAGGCCAAGGUUAGGGUCUCCUGAAUCCUGUGUGUGCCCUGCAAGGUGGAGCCAGAUUCUCCUAGGUCAACCAACAGCUCUUAUGCUGGUAGUUGGGGCCGGUGCUGGGCACACCUUGCUCUACUUCUGAGCAGGUUCCAAUCCUGUGAGAAAGGCCAGCCUUCUCGUUCCAAGCUGUGAGCUGAGGGGCAGAGGCAUCUCUGCAGUCCAGAAGAUGAUAAACUCAUACAAAUCCAAGGAGAAAUCUCAAGGAAACCACAAGCAUUGGCUUCUGGAGUUUAACAAGAAAACAGAGAAAAAAAAACAACUGGUUUGAAGUUAAAACUGUGUCCAGUUCUAGAUUUACAUUUUCUGUCUGUGUUCCUAACAACUCUAAUGAAAACUAGUUCUUCCACUUCUGCAAGGGUCAGUCUCUCCCUAAGCCUUGCCUCUUUUCUUUAAAAUCAUACUUUAUUUUAUUUAUAGCAAUACAACUUACAUUUGCAUUAACACUUUAAUAUAAUGAUUUAAGGUAGUUUUUUUUUUUAAUCUAUGGGAGGGGUAACCGAAGAGGCCAGAGGAGGACGUCAGACUCUCUACGACUAGAGUAACAACAGUUGGAAGUUGCCACAUGAGUGGUGGGAUCUGAACCUGGGUCUUCUACAAGAGCAACAAGUGGUUUUAACCACUGAGCCAUUUCUCUAGCCCCAAGACUUUGUAUAUUUUUUAAAGAAGUAAGAUUUUAAGGUACUCAAAUUUAAAGACUGUGAGACUUUUAAAGGUACACUAUGUCUAUAUUGUUAAAUAAUUUUUUAAUUUUUUUAAAUUUACUUUUAACUUUUUCACUUUACAUUCUGCUCAUUGCCCCUCCUAGUCACCCCUUAAGGUAGUUUUAAAUGGAAGGGAAACUACAGGCUAUAAAAUCCCUCUCCCAAAACACUUGUUUUAAAAAUUCAUUUUUCUAAGUAGGUUGAUGGAACAGCUAUAGCCAGUGACUGCUGCUUGGGCCUACUUCCUACUCCACUAAUAGUCCAUGGAAUUAAAAA